rnacentral:rRNA from 1 species
AUUGAACGCUGGCGGCAGGCCUAACACAUGCAAGUCGAACGGUAACAGGAAGAAGCUUGCUUCUUUGCUGACGAGUGGCGGACGGGUGAGUAAUGUCUGGGAAACUGCCUGAUGGAGGGGGAUAACUACUGGAAACGGUAGCUAAUACCGCAUAACGUCGCAAGCCCAAAGAGGGGGACCUUCGGGCCUCUUGCCAUCGGCUGUGCCCAGAUGGGAUUAGCUAGUAGGUGGGGUAACGGCUCACCUAGGCGACGAUCCCUAGCUGGUCUGAGAGGAUGACCAGCCACACUGGAACUGAGACACGGUCCAGACUCCUACGGGAGGCAGCAGUGGGGAAUAUUGCACAAUGGGCGCAAGCCUGAUGCAGCCAUGCCGCGUGUAUGAAGAAGGCCUUCGGGUUGUAAAGUACUUUCAGCGGGGAGGAAGGGAGUAAAGUUAAUACCUUUGCUCAUUGACGUUACCCGAAGAAGAAGCACCGGCUAACUCCGUG